rnacentral:tRNA from 1 species
AGAAAAAUAAAUAAAGAUUUCUAAUCUCCAAAUAGCUAAAAUGCUUUUUUCUU